GGAAGAAUUCAAGGCAGGUUGAAUGUGAUCUGAGAAACCUGGUCUCAGAGUUUCAGAGCUGUAGAUGAGACAACCUGCUUAUGCUGUUUGAAGAAUGGAUCUUACAGACUUUUUUAAAUCCUAUGCUAAAAACACAUUGAUACCAACUAAGGUGUGCUGGAGGAAGAGAUGGGAAAGUAUGUCAAGUCAUUUUAGUCCCUGAUAGAUAUAAGGACUCUGAUAAAUUCAGGGCCUGUGUAAAUAAGGUAUUUUAAGGAAUAAACAGGAAAAGAGUGGUGCUGUACAAAGGGGGCAAAACACUCCAAUGUCCAUGAGACAUCCUUUCUCGAU